CGCGUAGGCGGCCACCGCAAGUCAGUUGUGAAAUCUCUGGGCUUAACUCAGAAAGGUCAACUGAUACUGCGGGGCUAGAGUGCAGAAGGGGCAACUGGAAUUCUCGGUGUAGCGGUGAAAUGCGUAGAUAUCAAGAGGAACACCUGAGGUGAAGACGGGUUGCUGGGCUGACACUGACGCUGGAGGCGCAAGCAGGGAGCAACG
rnacentral:rRNA from 1 species